rnacentral:rRNA from 1 species
GUCGAACGCUGGCGGCGUGCUUAACACAUGCAAGUCGAACGCAGUGGCGAACGGGUGAGUAACGCGUAAUCAACCUGCCCUUCAGAGGGGGACAACAGUUGGAAACGACUGCUAAUACCCCAUACUGACUGAUGGGAUUGCGUCGGAUUAGCUAGUUGGGGGGGUAAAGGCCCACCGAGGCGAUGAGCAGUAGCCGGUCUGGGAGGAGGAACGGCCAAAUUGGGACUUGGACAAGGCCCAGACUCCUACGGGAGGCAGCAGUGGGGAAUCUUCCGCAAUGGACGAAAGUCUGACGGAGCAACGCCGCGGGAGUGAUGACGGCCUUCGGGUUGUAAAGCUCUGUUAAUCGGGACGCGGUACCGGAAGAGAAAGCAACGGCUAACUACGUGCCAGCCGCCGCGGUAAUUC